rnacentral:rRNA from 1 species
AUACGGAGGGUGCAAGCGUUGUUCGGAUUUAUUGGGCGUAAAGCGGGUGUAGGCGGCUUGGCAAGUCGGGUGUGAAAUCCCUGGGCUCAACCCAGGAACUGCACUCGAAACUGCCUCGCUAGAGUCUCGGAGAGGGUGGCGGAAUUCCCGGUGUAGAGGUGAAAUUCGUAGAUAUCGGGAGGAACACCAGUGGCGAAGGCGGCCACCUGGACGAUGACUGACGCUCAGACCCGAAAGCGUGGGGAGCAAACAGGAUUAGAUACCCCGGUAGUCC